CGUUUAGUAUAAGUAUGCCCGAUGCAAUAUUUUGGACAUACUUAUACUAAGA
rnacentral:pre_miRNA from 1 species